AUUGAACGCUGGCGGCAUGCCUUACACAUGCAAGUCGAACGGUAACAGGUUAAGCUGACGAGUGGCGAACGAGUGAGUAAUGUAUCGGAACGUGCCCAGUUGUGGGGGAUAACUGCUCGAAAGAGCAGCUAAUACCGCAUACGACCUGAGGGUGAAAGCGGGGGAUCGCAAGACCUCGCGCAAUUGGAGCGGCCGAUAUCAGAUUAGGUAGUUGGUGGGGUAAAGGCUCACCAAGCCGACGAUCUGUAGCUGGUCUGAGAGGACGACCAGCCACACUGGGACUGAGACACGACCCAGACUCCUACGGGAGGCAGCAGUGGGGAAUUUUGGACAAUGGGCGCAAGCCUGAUCCAGCCAUGCCGCGUGCGGGAAGAAGGCCUUCGGGUUGUAAACCGCUUUUGUCAGGGAAGAAACGCUCUGGGUUAAUACCCUGGGGUAAUGACGGUACCUGAAGAAUAAGCACCGGCUAACUACGUGCCAGCAGCCGCGGUAA
rnacentral:rRNA from 1 species